CAGCAUGACCUAGCAAUAGGUUGAUGGCGACCGGCGCACGGGUGAGUAACACGUAUCCAACCUACCGGUUAUUCAGGGAUAGCCUUUCGAAAGAAAGAUUAAUACCGGAUAGUAUAACGAGAAGGCAUCUUCUUGUUAUUAAAGAAUUUCGAUAACCGAUGGGGAUGCGUUCCAUUAGUUUGUUGGCGGGGUAACGGCCCACCAAGACAUCGAUGGAUAGGGGUUCUGAGAGGAAGGUCCCCCACAUUGGAACUGAGACACGGUCCAAACUCCUACGGGAGGCAGCAGUGAGGAAUAUUGGUCAAUGGACGAGAGUCUGAACCAGCCAAGUAGCGUGAAGGAUGACUGCCCUAUGGGUUGUAAACUUCUUUUAUAUGGGAAUAAAGUGAGCCACGUGUGGCUUUUUGUAUGUACCAUACGAAUAAGGAUCGGCUAACUCCGUGCCAGCAGCCGCGGUAAUACGGAGGAUCCGAGCGUUAUCCGGAUUUAUUGGGUUUAAAGGGAGCGUAGGCGGACUAUUAAGUCAGCUGUGAAAGUUUGCGGCUCAACCGUAAAAUUGCAGUUGAUACUGGUCGUCUUGAGUGCAGUAGAGGUAGGCGGAAUCCGUGGUGUAGCGGUGAAAUGCUUAGAUAUCACGAAGAACUCCGAUUGCGAAGGCAGCUUACUGGACUGUAACUGACGCUGAUGCU
rnacentral:rRNA from 1 species